UCUUGUGGAUGAGCAAAGUGGUUUCCUGAGAUGGAAUCUACUGGUGAAGAUGCUGUGAA
rnacentral:pre_miRNA from 1 species